rnacentral:lncRNA from 1 species
AGUCUUCGGACGGCGGCCUGCGGAGGUCAGGUGAGAGGGUGAUCGCGCUGCUGAAAGCCGACUGCGCCUACGUGGACUGCGGCUUCGCUCCGGGCCGCUCCUCCCUGCUGUUCACGAGGAAACCUAAAACCUCCUGCUUGAAGCCUGAAGUGUUCCAAGCAUGGAGAUGAUGGACGUGGUAUGGGACAAUCAGUGCACCCACAGGAGGGGACGGCGGGAACCAAGAUUGGAAGGAACAUUGCUCUCUGUGACUGAGUCUCCGUGUGGGCUGCUGGGACAAGUCUAUUGAUUGGUGU